GUGAAUCAUCGAAUUUUUGAACGCAAAUUGCACUCUCUGCUGAGAGGAUGCGUGUCUGAGGUUGAGCCUAAGAAAAAUAGACAUAGUCGCUGUUGCGCGGUUACGUUCUUCGGAGAUUGGGUCAUCUUAAACCUUUUGGUGUUAAGCGGCUUAAAAUUUUCUUUACGUUUCCACAAACAUUUCUAAGGUUUACUUACGCUUUUGAUGUAGCGAUCUUUAUUAGACGGGUCU
rnacentral:misc_RNA from 1 species